GCUCCCCGCGCCUCUGGCCUUGCCCACCGACCCGCCGAGCUCUCGGAGUCGCCUCGGCCUUUCUGAGGUCCGGGGCCGGCUUUUAAGCUGGUUGAUCGGCUUCGGACGCAACUCGUUCAGCUUCUGAGCAUCCGAGGCGGUGUUGCGUUUUCCAUCGGUCCCAGUUCCUGGGAACUUAGCCCUGCCUUAAUGUUUAAGCUCAAAACUGCUCCACAUCCGACCCACUGACUUCUGGAGUCUCAUCUCACUCCUCCUGGCCCCUAAUUUUCUGUUUCUCCCUUUCACUGGUCCGUUUACCCCUUUGCCCUCAGCCCCCUGGAAUCGCCUCCCCUUCGCUUCUGAAACCUUUCCCCACUCCGUCCACGUUUGGAAGUAGGAAGCUGCCCUCUGCGGACUCGUGAGCCACUUUUUCCAUGAACCUCCUCAUUCUAAGGACUACAUAGUUGUAUAUUUUAGUUGUAGGUCCUUCUGGUUGUGCUAUGUGGGGCAGUGCCUCAGCAUGGCCUGAUGAGCAGUGCCAUGUCCAUGCCCAGGAUCCAAACCAGUGAAGUCCCAGGCCACCAAAGUGGAGC
rnacentral:lncRNA from 1 species